rnacentral:rRNA from 1 species
ACGGAAGGCAGCAGUGAGGAAUAUUGGUCAAUGGGCGGAAGCCUGAACCAGCCAAGUCGCGUGAAGGAUGAAGGUUCUAUGGAUUGUAAACUUCUUUUGUUCGAGGGUAAAGUGAGUCACGUGUGGCUUAUUGCAAGUAUCGAACGAAUAAGCAUCGGCUAACUCCGUGCCAGCAGCCGCGGUAAUACGGAGGAUGCGAGCGUUAUCCGGAUUUAUUGGGUUUAAAGGGUGCGUAGGCGGGAUGUUAAGUCAGCGGUGAAAUGCAGGGGCUCAACCCCGGCACUGCCGUUGAAACUGGCGAGCUCGAGUACGGAUGAAGUCGGCGGAAUGUGAUGUGUAGCGGUGAAAUGCUUAGAUAUGUCACAGAACACCGAUUGCGAAGGGAGCUGACUAAUCCGCAACUGACGCUCAGGCACGAAAGCGUGGGGAUCGAACAGGAUUAGAU